rnacentral:rRNA from 1 species
UACGGAGAGGGCUAGCGUUGUUCGGAAUCACUGGGCGUAAGGCGCGCGUAGGCGGUUACUCAAGUCAGAGGUGAAAGCCCGGGGCUCAACCCCGGAACUGCCUUUGAAACUAGGUGACUAGAAUCUUGGAGAGGUCAGUGGAAUUCCGAGUGUAGAGGUGAAAUUCGUAGAUAUUCGGAAGAACACCAGUGGCGAAGGCGACUGACUGGACAAGUAUUGACGCUGAGGUGCGAAAGCGUGGGGAGCAAACAGG